ACACACACAGACACACACACACACGCAUCCGUACGUUAAUUCAUGUUUUUAUCUACAGGAAGUACACAGCUAACGAGCUGAUAGAAGAUUUGCUGAAUACGGUAAAUAGUAAAUAUAUCCGUUCAUGCAUUUAUUAAUAUUACAAAAACAAAUAUUAAAACACAUAAAAUACAACAAUUAUUUGUUUGACAUUUUUAAAUAUAUAAUUUUAAAAUAUAGAAAUAGUACAAUAUGAUCAAAUCUCUCAACUUUAAAUUCUGACAACUUCAUUGAUUUUCUGAUGCAAUGAUGCACUGAUGGAGUUAAUGGAAUUCUAUACAGUGCUGAUGUAAGUCUACAGUGUUGAUGUAACUCCACCAUACUAAUCUAACUCUAUACAGUGUUGAUGUAACUCCACUGGACUGAUGUAAGUAGUGUUGAUGUAACUCCACACUAUACUGAUGUAACUACACAGAUUUGUGUCUACACUGUACUGAUGAAAGUCUACACUGUACUGAUGUAACUCUAUACAGGUGUUGAUUUAAGUCUACAGUGUUGAUGUAACUACACCAUACUAAUCUAACUCUAUACAGUGUUGAUGUAACUACACUGUACUGAUGUAACUCUAUACAGUGUUGGUGUGACUCUAGUGUUAGUACUUCCUGGUUCCUGAGUUGUUUGCGACAAGUCCUUUUUUCCUGCGAGCGUUGGCGUUAAUUACUAAUCUUUUUAAAAAAAAAUUUCUACAAAUACAUUUUCCAGUAUCAUCUUCAUUUUUAUUGUACCGUCACUUUCCUUUUUGUACUUUUUGCUUUCCUUUUUCCGUUUUUUUUUCUUUUUUCAGAAGAACGCCGAGACCGGAAGCUUUCUUCUUUUUUUGUCCCUCCUCCUGCGUAAAGACCACAAGCGGAGGCCAUCCACAUCGGAUUUGCUUUAAUAUCAACAGAUCUUUGAUUAAGGAAUCUGUCCCUCUGAGUUACAUGUCGGUUCUGAGAUCGAGGUGCUGAACCUCUUCUGCUCCUCAUACCUGCCUGAUCCAUCCUGGUGCCCUGUGUCUGGCUGGAGUCUCAUCACAUCGCUCCUGUGGAGGACGGCCCCAUGUGGACAGUUGAAAGUCACACCUGGAGGACGCUCUGGACUCUUACAGUAAUGCUUUUAUGGCUGAGGACUACAGUUGACUUGCUAACUUUAGGACUGCAGUUGUCAUGAACAGUUUUACACUCAAGUUUCCAUCAAUGAAGAGUUUAUAACAUCAACGAAACUGACUUCAUGUUAAAACUGUUAAUGUUAUAGUCAGGCUGUCUGCUGUUGCCCAAAUGAGGAUGGGUUCCCUUUUGAGUCUGGUUCCUCUCAAAGUUUCUUCCUCAUGUCGUCUGAGGGAGUUUUUCCUUGCCACCGUCGCCACAGGCUUCAUCAUUGGGGAUAGAUUAGGGAUAAAAUUAGCUCAUGUUUUAAGCCAUUCAAAUUCUGUAAAGCUGCUUUGCGACAAUGUCUAUUGUUAAAAGCGCGAUACAAAUAAACUUGACUUAAUGUAA